CACACCGCCCGUCACACCAUGGGAGUUGGAUUCACUCGAGGGCGUUGAGCUAACCCGCAAGGGAGGCAGGCGACCACAGUGGGUUUAGCGACUGGGGUG
rnacentral:rRNA from 1 species